rnacentral:rRNA from 1 species
UACGUAGGGUGCAAGCGUUGUCCGGAAUUAUUGGGCGUAAAGAGCUCGUAGGCGGUUUGUCGCGUCUGCUGUGAAAACUCGGGGCUUAACCCCGGGCCUGCAGCCGAUACGGGCAAACUAGAAUUCGGUAGGGGAGACUGGAAUUCCUGGUGUAGCGGUGAAAUGCGCAGAUAUCAGGAGGAACACCGGUGGCGAAGGCGGGUCUCUGGGCCGAUAUUGACGCUGAGGAGCGAAAGCGUGGGGAGCAAACAGG